UAUUUAUUAGUAUUAUAUCAGAAAACCUUAUUUAUGGAACCUCUAUACCUUUUAAGUGUCGUGUUAAAGUAUGUAGAUAGGUUUAUUCACCGACUGAACUAAAGGCAGAGUAGCCUAAUUGGCAAAGCGACUUGUACACGGGAUAGCGGAAGUUAAGGUUUAGCAGGUUCACGCUAUGCGAAUCCUGUGGUUUCGGGGACUUGUACCAAAUUGUUAGACAUUCUUGUAAUUUGUAUUGUUAUGCUUCGCUUACAAAAGGCGAUUUUGAAUAGAAAACUUUUCGGCUGAACCAAACUGGAGCUCAACCAACGUUGGAACCUGUCCAUUGAAGCCUUCAAUACGAAUUACAUAUUUGACGAGCUUAAUUUAAAAAAAAUAGUAACAUUUUUGACCGUUUUUGAAAGUUUGUAUAAAAUUUAUUUGUUUUACAAAUUUAUAAAUAAAAUUGUAUAAUAAAAUCAAAA